GAAAUGCGAUAAUUAAUGUGAAUUGCAGAAUUCAGUGAAUCAUCGAGUCUUUGAACGCACAUUGCGCCCCCUGGUAUUCCGGGGGGCAUGCCUGUCCGAGCGUCAUUGCUGCCCUCAAGCACGGCUUGUGUGUUGGGCUUCCGUCCCUGGCAACGGGGACGGGCCCAAAAGCCAGUGGCGGCACCAUGUCUGGUCCUCGAGCGUAUGGGGCUUUGUCACCCGCUCCCGUAGGUCCAGCUGGCAGCUAGCCUCGCAACCAAUCUUUUUAACCAGGUUGACCUCGGAUCAGGUAGGGAUACCCGCUGAACUUAAGC
rnacentral:misc_RNA from 1 species